AACUCGGUGAGAGGCAUUAGAACUAAAAAGUGAUUCUGUUCUGCAUGGAGGAAUAGCAUGGAGAAAAUAGCUCUUCAAGCUAGUGCACUGCUCUAGAGGAGCUAAAAGGGAGUGGAGUAGCUGCCUCAGACAAGGCAAGUUUCAGGCAAGGUCACACAAGUUAGGACACACGGGAAAUAGAAGCAAAUGACAGCUCAUUUCACACCCCUGUGUAUGGGAAGCUCACAGCGAAGGAAGGCCAUAUGAGCAACACAUGGUGCGGCUCCUGCCCCGAGAGCGGGCGAGAGAAUUGGUGAAGGUGGCACUACUGAAAACCCCAGUUCCCUGAUGUUUGCCACAGAAUUUGGUGCAGGGCAAAUGGCUAUGUGGUCUGUGAUGCUCAGCAGCAGGCAUCUGCACUGCUCCCACCUGCAAAGUGAGUUCUGCCUCGGUGAGAAGAAGGAAACACUCUGGGAAGCUGGCAAGGACCAGGGGUGGUCAGUUCAGCCUGAUUUUAUUGCAGUGGCCAGUGGCACAGCUGGAGGCUGCCAACUGCAGUUGACGAGUAGUUAUUUGGCUCUGUUUGCUCAAGGUUUCCUCUGGGAGCCCCAGCACUGUCUCCUGAAAGCAGCUCUGAGGGUGUGUGGGGGUGGAGCUGAAUACAAUGCCUGCAUUUGUGGCUAACUACAAGCAAUACAUUAUGAAGAUGAUGGUAUUCAGACACACACCCAAACAAUUUGAUUCAGACAAAUUGGAUACAAGACUUUGACCAGCAUAAGAAGAACAGGCAUUGUACAGACAGGCAGCAAUGCAGACCUGCUGGAGGAGCUCAGCAGGAGGAGAGCCCGUGCUGCACCAGCAACGUGGUCUGAACAGAGGUCUGUGGUGGUCCAGCUCAUUGGAAACUUUCAUGCUUAAAUCAGGAGGAUGCUAUAGUUGGAGCUAAUCUGCGAGAUAAGAAUUUGCCGAGGGCAUCAACAGCAGUUUUCCCAGGCUUUGGAACAAGGAUUAUGUAGUCAAUCCACAAAUGACUCAAAUCUUUGAAAAAACGGACAUGGUUAUCAGAGGGGCUUUGACAGCAGCAAGGACGGGAGUGCUAUCUGGCGUAGUGCAUCAGAGGCUCUUAUUUCAUCUCAUUAAUGCACUCAGGACAUCAACAUGGGCCACCAGUCCAGGGGAAUCAGUUGGUCCUUUCCCAACCAGGCCGUGAAGCUGAACAUCAAGAGCCAUCGCCCUCCUGCCCUUUGCACUGACCAUGCUGCCCUGCCAAUGUCAAGACUGAUGGGCUGUUGGGGAGAACAACUAAAUUCUGCCCCCAAUACUUCUGCGUAUGCUGAUGAAACAAGAACCGACUAGGAAAGGAAACAAUUCUCCUAACUUUUUUGCAUGAAGUGCAGUGGGGAGUGAAGAAUUCAAUGAAGAAUUCAGCGUGGCAGAGGAAUGGGAGCGUAGGGAUUUCUGAUAUGGUUUGGAUACUGCUGCCACCAUGUAAAAGAGAUCUCAUAAUAAAAGUGUUGAUCAAAGCUUACACCACAUAUUGAUUCUUUCAUCAGAAAGUCAAGAAAACAACUAUUGUGUGUUUUUUUCAUGAAUAUAAAGCAGAGAACUUGGGUGAGAGGAAAAAUGUUAAAAUAACGAAGCACCAGAAGGGGUUAAAAGGGAAGACCCGAGUCUAGAGCAGAAAGAAGGUGCCAAAAGUUAAACAUUAAAAGAAAAUUCAUGAAGAAAUAUUUGUAUUCAAAAUCUAUGACCAUUAUGAUAUCAAAAUAACUACUGUUCAAUUCCAUGCUUAUAGUAGCUUUGUAGUCAGGAAAACUGCCAUCACUUGCAUCCCACUAUUAAAAUAUAUUCUAUACCAUUCCAAAAUCCCAAAAGACAAUAAAAAAUACCUGGAUUUGGGAAUUAGACAUAAGUUGCUGUUUUUUCCCAGAAAUAUUUUAUCAGAACAUUUGAAUAAUGUGGGGUUUAGAUCAGGUGCCAAACAGUCCAUGCGCUUGGGCUGUGUUUAUGACAUGGGUACGUGGUCACUGUGAGAUGCACGCAUGGCGUUGCUGUUCACCUCCUGUAGCUGAACAUCAUGGACCCAGUAAAGUCAACACAGAGCUUGCCAUUGACUUCAGUGGAGCCCGAAUUUCAUCCCAGGCCAGGAGCAGCUGAUGGAGGGUGCCACAAGCUGGUGACCUGCAGCAAUUUCAGGUCAGUGAUACAGAAGCAAAAAAAAAUUCCUUGUCACAUAACCGCUGUAGCUCAGACAACCCGAAUUUCACUUUGGAUUUUCUACUGCAUUUCCGUUCACAUCGCAACUCUAUAGAUAAUGUGCUAAGGCAUCGUUCUUAAAAAAGAAAGAUUUAACUUUUUUAAAGAGAUGGGUGAUUUGUAGAAGACAUUUGUGUAAUUUUGUA